UAUCCACUUCACUGUCAGUCCAAAGCCUCUACAUUAAUGGGUGCACAGUAGCAGUUGCAGUUAGAUUGGAGUUACCGAAACAUCCACACUUUGGACAUUUCUGCCAUUAUCCAUGCUGCAGAUGAAGCCCUCAUCCCAGGAUGCACUGAGGAGACAAUGC